AGGGUGUAAACGCUGCCGACUUGGUGUUGGAGGCCCUUCGGGGGCAUUCAGUGCCGGAGAGAAGUUGUUAAGUCGGCCACUUGGGGAGUACGUCCGCAAGGAUGAAACUUAAAGGAAUUGGCGGGGGAGCACCGCAACGGGAGGAGCGUGCGGUUUAAUUGGAUUCAACACCGGAAAACUCACCAAGGGCGACUGUUACAUGAAAGCCAGGCUAAUGACCUUGCUUGAUUUUCAGAGAGGUGGUGCAUGGCGUCAGUGACU
rnacentral:rRNA from 1 species